GUGGGGAAUAUUGGACAAUGGGGGGAACCCUGAUCCAGCCAUGCCGCGUGUGUGAAGAAGGCCUUUUGGUUGUAAAGCACUUUAAGCGAGGAGGAGGCUACCGAGAUUAAUACUCUUGGAUAGUGGACGUUACUCGCAGAAUAAGCACCGGCUAACUCUGUGCCAGCAGCCGCGGUAAUACAGAGGGUGCAAGCGUUAAUCGGAUUUACUGGGCGUAAAGCGCGCGUAGGUGGCCAAUUAAGUCAAAUAUGAAAUCCCCGAGCUUAACUUGGGAAUUGCAUUCGAUACUGGUUGGCUAGAGUAUGGGAGAGGAUGGUAGAAUUCCAGGUGUAGCGGUGAAAUGCGUAGAGAUCUGGAGGAAUACCGAUGGCGAAGGCAGCCAUCUGGCCUAAUACUGACACUGAGGUGCGAAAGCAUGGGGAGCAAACAGGAUUAGAUACCCUGGUAGUCC
rnacentral:rRNA from 1 species